rnacentral:rRNA from 1 species
UACGAAGGGUGCAAGCGUUGCUCGGAAUUAUUGGGCGUAAAGGGUAGGUAGGUGGUAAUAAAAGUCUGGGGUGAAAUCCCUGAGCUCAACUCAGGAAGUGCCUUGGAAACUUUAUUACUAGAGUGCUGGAGAGGUUCGCAGAAUUCCCGGUGUAGCGGUGAAAUGCGUAGAGAUCGGGAGGAAUACCAGAGGCGAAGGCGGCGAACUGGACAGCAACUGACACUCAACUACGAAAGCGUGGGGAGCAAACAGG